rnacentral:rRNA from 1 species
GGGUUGUGAGGUUAAGCGACUAAGCGUACACGGUGGAUGCCCUGGCAGUCAGAGGCGAUGAAGGGCGUGCUAAUCUGCGAUAAGCGCCGGUAAGGUGAUAUGAACCGUUAUAACCGGCGAUACCCGAAUGGGGAAACCCAGUGUGAUUCGUCACACUAUCAUUAACUGAAUCCAUAGGUUAAUGAGGCGAACCGGGGGAACUGAAACAUCUAAGUACCCCGAGGAAAAGAAAUCAACCGAGAUUCCCCCAGUAGCGGCGAGCGAACGGGGAGGAGCCCAGAGCCUGAAUCAGCAUGUGUGUUAGUGGAAGCGUCUGGAAAGGCGCGCGAUACAGGGUGACAGCCCCGUACACAAAAGCGCAUGUGCUGUGAGCUCGAUGAGUAGGGCGGGACACGUGGUAUCCUGUCUGAAUAUGGGGGGACCAUCCUCCAAGGCUAAAUACUCCUGACUGACCGAUAGUGAACCAGUACCGUGAGGGAAAGGCGAAAAGAACCCCGGCGAGGGGAGUGAAAAAGAACCUGAAACCGUGUACGUACAAGCAGUGGGAGCCCCACCACUAAGCCAGUGGUGAACUCCACAUACGCAUCCUUUGCUGAGGAUACGGUUAACGGAGCGAAAGCGACGUUCAACCGCAAAAGAAGCAGAGGGGGCUUAGUGGUGGGGUGACUGCGUACCUUUUGUAUAAUGGGUCAGCGACUUAUAUUCUGUAGCAAGGUUAACCGAAUAGGGGAGCCGGAGGGAAACCGAGUCUUAAUUGGGCGUUAAGUUGCAGGGUAUAGACCCGAAACCCGGUGAUCUAGCCAUGGGCAGGUUGAAGGUUGGGUAACACUAACUGGAGGACCGAACCGACUAAUGUUGAAAAAUUAGCGGAUGACCUGUGGCUGGGGGUGAAAGGCCAAUCAAACCGGGAGAUAGCUGGUUCUCCCCGAAAGCUAUUUAGGUAGCGCCUCGUGAAUUCAUCUCCGGGGGUAGAGCACUGUUUCGGCUAGGGGGCCAUCCCGGCUUACCAACCCGAUGCAAACUGCGAAUACCGGAGAAUGUUAUCACGGGAGACACACGGCGGGUGCUAACGUCCGUCGUGAAGAGGGAAACAACCCAGACCGCCAGCUAAGGUCCCAAAGUCAUGGUUAAGUGGGAAACGAUGUGGGAAGGCCCAGACAGCCAGGAUGUUGGCUUAGAAGCAGCCAUCAUUUAAAGAAAGCGUAAUAGCUCACUGGUCGAGUCGGCCUGCGCGGAAGAUGUAACGGGGCUAAACCAUGCACCGAAGCUGCGGCAGCGAACGUAUCACUUAAAGCGAUUCAGCGGGUUACGAUUGACGGAGCGAAGCGACGUCAAAGCGUAUACAAAGUCGAGUCGGUUUAAGGAUACGUUCGUUGGGUAGGGGAGCGUUCUGUAAGCCUGCGAAGGUGGCCUGUGAGGGUUGCUGGAGGUAUCAGAAGUGCGAAUGCUGACAUAAGUAACGAUAAAGCGGGUGAAAAGCCCGCUCGCCGGAAGACCAAGGGUUCCUGUCCAACGUUAAUCGGGGCAGGGUGAGUCGACCCCUAAGGCGAGGCCGAAAGGCGUAGUCGAUGGGAAACGGGUUAAUAUUCCCGUACUUGGUGUUACUGCGAAGGGGGGACGGAGAAGGCUAUGUUGGCCGGGCGACGGUUGUCCCGGUUUAAGCGUGUAGGUGUGUGUUCCAGGUAAAUCCGGUUCACUUUAACACUGAGGCGUGACGACGAGGCACUACGGUGCUGAAGCAACAAAUGCCCUGCUUCCAGGAAAAGCCUCUAAGCAUCAGGUAACAUCAAAUCGUACCCCAAACCGACACAGGUGGUCAGGUAGAGAAUACCAAGGCGCUUGAGAGAACUCGGGUGAAGGAACUAGGCAAAAUGGUGCCGUAACUUCGGGAGAAGGCACGCUGAUAUGUAGGUGAAGCGGUUUACCCGUGGAGCUGAAAUCAGUCGAAGAUACCAGCUGGCUGCAACUGUUUAUUAAAAACACAGCACUGUGCAAACACGAAAGUGGACGUAUACGGUGUGACGCCUGCCCGGUGCCGGAAGGUUAAUUGAUGGGGUCAGCGCAAGCGAAGCUCCUGAUCGAAGCCCCGGUAAACGGCGGCCGUAACUAUAACGGUCCUAAGGUAGCGAAAUUCCUUGUCGGGUAAGUUCCGACCUGCACGAAUGGCGUAAUGAUGGCCAGGCUGUCUCCACCCGAGACUCAGUGAAAUUGAACUCGCUGUGAAGAUGCAGUGUACCCGCGGCAAGACGGAAAGACCCCGUGAACCUUUACUAUAGCUUGACACUGAACAUUGAGCCUUGAUGUGUAGGAUAGGUGGGAGGCUUUGAAGUGUGGACGCCAGUCUGCAUGGAGCCGACCUUGAAAUACCACCCUUUAAUGUUUGAUGUUCUAACGUGGACCCGUAAUCCGGGUUGCGGACAGUGUCUGGUGGGUAGUUUGACUGGGGCGGUCUCCUCCUAAAGAGUAACGGAGGAGCACGAAGGUUGGCUAAUCCUGGUCGGACAUCAGGAGGUUAGUGCAAUGGCAUAAGCCAGCUUGACUGCGAGCGUGACGGCGCGAGCAGGUGCGAAAGCAGGUCAUAGUGAUCCGGUGGUUCUGAAUGGAAGGGCCAUCGCUCAACGGAUAAAAGGUACUCCGGGGAUAACAGGCUGAUACCGCCCAAGAGUUCAUAUCGACGGCGGUGUUUGGCACCUCGAUGUCGGCUCAUCACAUCCUGGGGCUGAAGUAGGUCCCAAGGGUAUGGCUGUUCGCCAUUUAAAGUGGUACGCGAGCUGGGUUUAGAACGUCGUGAGACAGUUCGGUCCCUAUCUGCCGUGGGCGCUGGAGAACUGAGGGGGGCUGCUCCUAGUACGAGAGGACCGGAGUGGACGCAUCACUGGUGUUCGGGUUGUCAUGCCAAUGGCACUGCCCGGUAGCUAAAUGCGGAAGAGAUAAGUGCUGAAAGCAUCUAAGCACGAAACUUGCCCCGAGAUGAGUUCUCCCUGAGACUUAGAGUCUCCUGAAGGAACGUUGAAGACGACGACGUUGAUAGGCCGGGUGUGUAAGCGCAGCGAUGCGUUGAGCUAACCGGUACUAAUGAACCGUGAGGCUUAACCUUACAACGCCGAAG